UACGUAGGGGGCAAGCGUUUGUCCGGAUUUAUUGGGCGUAAAGAGCGUGUAGGCGGCCUGAAAGGUCAGCUGUGAAAACUCGAGGCUCAACCUCGAGACGUCGGUUGAAACCAUCUGGCUAGAGUCCGGAAGAGGAGUGUGGAAUUCCCGGUGUAGCGGUGAAAUGCGUAGAGAUCGGGAGGAACAUCAGUUGCGAAGGCGGGUCUCUGGGCCGAUACUGACGCUGAGG
rnacentral:rRNA from 1 species